rnacentral:rRNA from 1 species
CCAAUAGCGUAUAUUAAAGUUGUUGCAGUUAAAAAGCUCGUAGUUGAAUUUCGGGAUCAGUACGCCGGUCGUGCCUUCGGUAUGUACUGGUGUUACUGGUUCCUACCUUCUGACGAACCGUCAUGGCAUUAAUUUGGUGUGGCGGGGAAUCAGUACUGUUACUUUGAAAAAAUAAGAGUGUUUAAAGCAGGCUCGCGCUUGAAUACAUUAGCAUGGAAUAAUGAAAUAGGACGUUCGAUCCUAUUUUGUUGGUUUCUAGGAUUGACGUAAUGAUUAAUAGGGAUAGUUGGGGGCAUUAGUAUUCAAUUGUCAGAGGUGAAAUUCUUGGAUUUAUUGAAGACUAACUACUGCGAAAGCAUUUGCCAAGGAUGUUUUCAUUAAUCAAGAACGAAAGUUAGGGGAUCGAAGACGAUCAGAUACCGUCGUAGUCUUAACCAUAAACUAUGCCGACUAGGGAUCGGAUGAUGUUAUUUUUAAUGACUCAUUCGGCGCCUUACG